rnacentral:rRNA from 1 species
CUGCAGUUAAAGCUCGUAGUUGGAUCUGGGUUGUGCGUUCACGCGCCUUUACUUGUUUAUCAGCCUUGGUAAAUGCCCUGGCUGGGUGUUCAAUUUGGUGUAGUGGGGCGUGCUGCCCUUUCAGCCGUGUCUGUGUAAACGGGUGCUGACUGGGUUGAUGAGCUUGUCUUGUUUAACCCUGUUGGCCCUGCUUCUAGAUGCCCUUUACCGGGUGUCGGGAGCCGGACGGCAUCUUUACUUUGAACAAAUUUGAGUGCUCAAAAGCAGGCCCUGUGGGCCCUGAAAAUUCUUGCAUGGAAUAAUGGAAUAGGACUUCGGUUCUAUUUUGUUGGUUUUCGGAUCCGAAGUAAUGGUUAAGAGGGACAGACGGGGGCAUUUGUAUGGCGGUGUGAGAGGUGAAAUUCUGGGAUCGCCGCCAGACAAACUACAGCGAAAGCAUUUGCCAAGAAUGUUUUCAUUGAUCAGGAGCGAAAGUCAGAGUUUCGAAGACGAUCAGAUACCGUCGUAGUUCUGACCAUAAACGAUGCCAACUGACGAUCCGCGGCAGCACUUAUAUCGGCUCCGCGGGCAGUCCCCGGGAAACCUUUAAGUCUUUGGGCUCCGGGGGAAGUAUGGUUGCAAAGCUGAAACUUAAAGGAAUGACGGAAGGC